AAUUGUAAGAGGGCUUUUUCUCUCACAUAGGUAACAGAUGCAAGACUCUGAUGAGCUCUGAGAGCGGGAUAUCUGUGCCCUAGAUUUUUGUUUCCUACUUAAAAGUCAACUGACCGGGAACCUGAGAAGAUUAUCCCUGAGCUAACAUCUGCUGCCAUUCCUCCUCUUUUUGCUGAGGAAGACUGGUCCUGCGCUAACAUCCAUGCCCAUCAUCCUCUGCUUUAUAUGUUGGAUGCCUGCCACAGCAUGGCUUGAUAUGUGGUGCAUAUGUCACCCCAUGGGAUCCGAACCAGUGAACCAGGGCCAUCAAAGUGGAGAGCUCAAACUUGACCUCUAUACCACAGAGCCAGCCUCAAUUUGCUCAGAUUUCCAGUAGGGAAAGAAGAAUGUUCUUUGGCUAAACAAAUAAAGAGGAAGUGACAAUAUACCAGUUCCAAGUCUAGGCCAAGGCGGCUUGUAUUUUGCCAAAUAAUGAUUCCCUUUGCAGGUGCUGCUCUUCCAGCUUAGGGCCAUGUCUGAAUACAUGUGGGGAAUGGCCUGACCUAGCUAAUCUUGGUCAAAUCCAAGCGCAAAGUAGAG
rnacentral:lncRNA from 1 species